AGUAAAUUGGUUAAGUUAGAAAGGGCGCACGGUGGAUGCCUUGGCACUAGGAGCCGAAGAAGGACGGGACUAACACCGAUAUGCUUUGGGGAGCUGUACGUAAGCGUUGAUCCAGAGAUUUCCGAAUGGGGGAACCCACUAUCUUUAGUCGGAUAGUAUCCUUACGUGAAUACAUAGCGUGAGGAAGGCAGACCCAGGGAACUGAAACAUCUAAGUACCUGGAGGAAGAGAAAGAAAAAUCGAUUUCCUGAGUAGCGGCGAGCGAAACGGAAAGAGCCCAAACCAAGAAGCUUGCUUCUUGGGGUUGUAGGACACUCUAUACGGAGUUACAAAAGAAAGUUAUAAAUGAAGCGGUCUGGAAAGGCCCGCCAAAGACGGUAACAGCCCGGUAGUUGAAAUGGCUUUCCCUCCAG
rnacentral:rRNA from 1 species